GCGAAAACUUUACACUGCGCGAAAGCGCGAUAAGGGGACCUCGAGUGCGUGCGCAAUGCGUACGCUUUUCAGAUGCCUAAAAAGCAUGUGGAAUAAGGGCCGGGCAAGACCGGUGCCAGCCGCCGCGGUAACACCGGCGGCCCGAGUGGUGAUCGUGAUUAUUGGGUCUAAAGGGUCCGUAGCCGGUUUGGUCAGUCCUCCGGGAAAUCUGACGGCUUAACCGUUAGGCUUUCGGAGGAUACUGCCAGGCUUGGAACCGGGAGAGGUAAGGGGUACUACAGGGGUAGGAGUGAAAUCUUGUAAUCCCUGUGGGACCACCUGUGGCGAAGGCGUCUUACCAGAACGGGUUCGACGGUGAGGGACGAAAGUUGGGGGCACGAACCGGAUUAGAUACCCGGGUAGUCCCAGCCGUAAACGAUGCUCGCUAGGUGUCAGGCAUGGCGCGACCGUGUCUGGUGCCGCAGGGAAGCCGUGAAGCGAGCCACCUGGGAAGUACGGCCGCAGGGCUGAAACU
rnacentral:rRNA from 1 species